CCUACUUAACUCAGUGGUUUAGAGUGUC
rnacentral:tRNA from 1 species